CUUCGGUUUUUUGUAACAGAGUUUAAUUUUUAUAAAGUUUGCCUCCCUCGACUUUUUUUUAAUCUUGAUUCAAUAUCCAUUGACAAGGGUUUUAGACCGCACGCGUACAGACUGAACAUGGAUUUGGUUUUAUAUUAGUUUUGUCAUUUUUCUUUUGUUAUUAAGGUCAAUUUAUUUUGUUCAAAUUCAUUUUAUUUGAUCAUGUUUUCUAAAAACUUACCAAAAGAAAUACAAAACUUUAACAUUUUACAAUGAUACAUAAAG
rnacentral:lncRNA from 1 species